UAGCCGGCCUGAGAGGGUGACCGGCCACACUGGGACUGAGACACGGCCCAGACUCCUACGGGAGGCAGCAGUGGGGAAUAUUGCACAAUGGGCGCAAGCCUGAUGCAGCAACGCCGCGUGAGGGACGAAGGCCUUCGGGUUGUAAACCUCUUUUAGCAGGGAAGAAGCGAAAGUGACGGUACCUGCAGAAAAAGCGCCGGCUAACUACGUGCCAGCAGCCGCGGUAAUACGUAGGGCGCAAGCGUUGUCCGGAAUUAUUGGGCGUAAAGAGCUCGUAGGCGGUUUGUCGCGUCUGCUGUGAAAAUCCGAGGCUCAACCUCGGACCUGCAGUGGGUACGGGCAAACUAGAGUGCGGUAGGGGAGACUGGAAUUCCUA
rnacentral:rRNA from 1 species